UACAGAGGUCUCAAGCGUUGUUCGGAUUCAUUGGGCGUAAAGGGUGCGUAGGCGGGUCUUUAAGUCAGGGGUGAAAUCCUGGAGCUCAACUCCAGAACUGCCUUUGAUACUGUAGAUCUUGAGUUCGGGAGAGGUGAGUGGAACUGCGAGUGUAGAGGUGAAAUUCGUAGAUAUUCGCAAGAACACCAGUGGCGAAGGCGGCUCACUGGCCCGAUACUGACGCUGAGGCACGGAAGCGUGGGGAGCAAACAGG
rnacentral:rRNA from 1 species